AUUUGAGCUUCUGGUUACAUGUUGCAUGCUCGGUUCGGUUAUUGGUGGGUUUCAGUGAGCGUUACAGACCAGAUAUGUCAACUUUGGAGCAAUUUAUUUUGUCUCCAAAAAUACAAGACUACUACAUAAAGUGAAAAGGGAGUGAACUUUAUUUUUCACUCUUGUAACUCUCAUUAAAACUCACUAACUAUUAGUCGCAGUCUGUUCGUGCCAAUGUUCUCCUCUUAGUGUAAAUGUACUGUGUGAUAAAUGCAGCGCGCAGCUAGUAUCUAGAAUAUAGGCAGACAAGCAAAACCUUGCCAGACUUAAAUUUUGGUUAUAUUCCCAUAUAUUACGUGCAUUAAUGUAUAGAAAUGUCAUGAAAUGGAUUGGGCUUUGGCUUGGGGUUAAUCUAACCCUAUAUCCUUAACCUUAAUCCAUUACAUGAUCUAUAUAUUGGUGUACGUAAUAUUUGGGUAUGCAUGGGUAAAAUGUUAUAGGUUGAAAAGCUGGCAUAGUUUCUCUUGAGGAUAAUGUAAACUGGAUGCAAAUGGUAUCCAUAGCUUAGAGGGUACAAAUGGUACCUGUAAGAAGAUUGGUGGACAUCGUCGUGGACAUUUUGAAAGAUGGAUGUUUCAUCCGGGUAAUCCGGUUCCUCCCACAGAAUGGUGGAUAUCAGCUUAGGACUGUAAAUAAAAUUGUUGUGAAGAUAAAUAGUCUAGGAUUUCAUCGCCCGUAGUGCAUGUAUAUCGCUGGCUUCGAACGUUAGUUUUCUGCCCCGUGUUAUAUGAAAACAGUUCGCUACCAGAGAUUAGGUCCCCUCUCUGUUAUGGCGACUCGACGAUGGAAGAAAUUAACAUAAGGCAUGCCAACCUUUGCCCCUGUUUGUGGAAGCUCACUAGGUGCGAUGGCACACUAGGUUAAGUUAAGUUAAGCUGAGAGCAUGACCGAGAUUCCACAUUCGGGGGUAUUCCCUUGCAGGUUUUUGAAAAGUUAUAUGCGCGUGCGCUCUAGUUAGGAAGGUCAGGCAGCUAGAAAUAGGGCGG